rnacentral:rRNA from 1 species
CAAUAGCGUAUAUUAAAGUUGUUGCAGUUAAAAAGCUCGUAGUUGGAUUUCUGGUCGGAAGCUCCUGUCCUCUGAUGAGCGUACAAGUGCGUCCUACCAUCCUUCUGUUAACCUUUAAGGCUUUCGCGGCUUUCUAGGGGCUCAGAUAUUUUACCUUGAGAAAAUUAGAGUGUUUCAGGCAGGCUAGCGCCGGAAUACAUUAGCAUGGAAUAAUGGAAUAGGACUUUUGCCUCUUCUGUUGGUCAUGAGUCUCGAGUAAUGAUUAAUAGGGAUAGUUGGGGGCAUUAGUACUUAACUGUCAGAGGUGAAAUUCUCGGAUUUGUUAAAGACUAACUUAUGCGAAAGCAUUUGCCAAGGAUGUUUUCAUUAA